rnacentral:rRNA from 1 species
AGUGAACGCUGGCGGUAGGCCUAACACAUGCCAGUCGAACGGCAGCACAGUAAGAGCUUGCUCUUACGGGUGGCGAGUGACGGACGGGUGAGGCAUACAUCGGAAUCUACUUUUUCGUGGGGGAUAACGUAGGGAAACUUCCGCUAAUACCGCAUAUGACCUACGGGUGAAAGCAGGGGUUCUUCGCACCCUGCCCGAUUGAUUGAGCCGAUGUCGGAUUAGCUAGUUGGCGGGGUAAAGGCCCACCAAGGCGACGAUCCGUAGCUGGUCUGAGAGGAUGAUCAGCCACACUGGAACUGAGACACGGUCCAGACUCCUACGGGAGGCAGCAGUGGGGAAUAUUGGACAAUGGGCGCAAGCCUGAUCCAGCCAUACCGCGUGAGUGAAGAAGGCCUUCGGGUUGUAAAGCCCUUUUGUUAGGAAAGAAAAGCAGCAGGUUAAUACCCCGCUGUUCUGACGGUACCCAAAGAAUAAGCACCGGCUAACUUCGUG